rnacentral:lncRNA from 10 species
CACACAGGCCUGGUUCUCCUCCUGUUUCUCUGGCUGCUCCUUCUCCACCUUUGCCAGUGCUCUUUGUUCUACGAUGCAACUUCCAAGUGUUGGAGCACCCAGGGCUUCACCUUCAGCUUGCUCUCACUCUCCCUCCAUAAAUUAUCUCAUCCAUUCUCAAAGUUGAAAUAUCAUCAGUAUACUGACAACUUCUUUGUUUUUGUUUUUGUUUUUGUUUUCCAUCUCUGGUUCCAGCCUCUCCCCUGAACACCAGAAUUCCAUCUUUAUGUGGACUUCCAAAAAGCAUUUCAAACUUAACAUGGCCAACACAAAACUCUUGAUCUUCUGUUUCCUAUCUCAGUAAAUGGCACCACCCUAUCCACCCAGUUGCUCAAACCAAACACCAAGGAAUCUUCCUCAAUUCCUCUCUCUCAUUUUCCCUUAGCCCUCACAUCUGCAGGUCUUCUCUGCUCUUGUUCUACCACUCACCUUGAAUCUGGUUGCUUCUAUUCCACGGCUUCCACCCUGAGCCAGGCCUCCUUCCUUCUUCCACUCCAGCUGCCUCCAAUUCACUCUCCACCCACCAGCCAGAGAGCUCAUCUAAAAAUGUGGACUCUGCUGCUGGCAGAAGAAACAGCAGCAACUGUGCAC